UACGUAGGGUGCGAGCGUUGUCCGGAAUUAUUGGGCGUAAAGAGCUCGUAGGCGGUGUGUCACGUCGGCCGUGAAAACCUGCAGCUUAACUGUGGGCGUGCGGUCGAUACGGGCAUCACUGGAGUUCGGCAGGGGAGACUGGAAUUCCUGGUGUAGCGGUGAAAUGCGCAGAUAUCAGGAGGAACACCGGUGGCGAAGGCGGCUUCUUGGGCCGAUACUGACGUGGAGGCGCGAAAGCUGGGGGAGCGAACGGG
rnacentral:rRNA from 1 species